GAUUUUUUUGAAAAAAUCGGGGUGAUUUAUUGGAAAAUCACAAAAAAUGUGGAUAAAAACUCAAAUAAAUCUGCGGUAAUGAUUUGUCAAGUAUUCUUUUACUGAAUACUAUCAUGCAAUUGAUUACAUAACCUUGCACCUCGCCAUUUGCGAAUAAAUUAGUGUAAUUGUGCACCUAUCUACAACAAGUUAAAAAUAGGUGCCUUCAAAGGACGUGGCAUCUCCGUGGGAAGAAUUUUGAAUCCUUUGGGUGAAUGUGUGAGGAAAAAUUCAGUAUGGUGUUUUUGAAUGAUAUGGUAGUUUCAUGUGGAAGUCUCAUGCUUCUUGAACCAUAUUCUUGAAGGUAUGCUGUGAAGGCUGACAAAGUUCAUCAAUUUGUAUGAGAUGAGCUGGAAAUUUGAAAGACUUUGUGUGCACAUGUCAAUGCUAGCUAUUGAACAAAAUAUUUAUUUUAUGGAAGAGGUGAAGUAGAGGAGCACUUUAAUUCUACAGAAAAGAGAUUCAAGGAAUGCAAAUCCUCUAUAAUAUGUAUUAAACUCAAAUUCAAUUAGAGGUUGCACUUAUCUUUUUUGUUUAUGAUAUGUAUUUAACUCAAACUUUAAUUUAUAUAUGAUGGAAAUCAGUAAUAUGCUCUACAAAUUCAGUGUAUAUGUGUGUUUUUCAAGAAUAUUUUAAGAACUAUAUAUAUUCAAAUGUUCGAUAAAUUUGCUUAGUUUUUGCCAAUUUUUUCUUGAUUUUUGGUUGAGUCCCAAGUUUUCAAAAAAGUUUGGGCCAAAAGAGUUAUUGUUGAGUAAGAGUUUUUCAUCUUUGCCUCUAACCACGAGAUCAAUGAUGUUGAAGAUAGGUGGGUCAACCAAUGGUCCCAUUAUUAACCCAUAAGAAAUGCUCAACAUAGAAAGCUAGUAUGAGGUUAAGAGUGUUCAUAGGGUGGUUCCAAGCAUCAUUGGUAGACUUUGCUUGGCAAAAACUUGACAAACCUAAAAUUUGUGACUCAGCAAAAACUUGGCGAAAAGCUCGACAACUUAAAAAAUUGCAUAAGUUUCUUUUAAAAUACAUUUUUUUUGCAAAAUUAAAUGACAAUGUAUUUUCUAUUAAAUUUUAUUAAUUUGAAUUCAAAUUGAGUACGGAAUUGCAUCAACAUGAUACAUAGAUAGCUUACAACUAAAAGUGUACUUACUUUUUCGAAUUCAAGUGUAACAUGUUGGAAAGUGGAAGCAUCUAGGUUAGUUUGCCUUGGCUCCAUAUGCCACAACAUCAUGGGGGUCAAGGGGUAGCACCACUUGCAAGGGUUUUGGGGUAGCGCUCCUAGCAAGGUCAAAGGGUAGUGCCCCCAUCAGGGUCGAAGGGUAGUGCUCCUUGUGGGGUCUAUAGGUAGUGCUCCUUGUGGGCUCUAUAGGUAGUGCUCCUCAUGUUCUAUAGGUAGUGCUCCUCAUGCAUUCCCUAUCACAAUAUAGGCUGGGGUCAAGAGGUAGAGCCCCUACACCAAGGACAAAUGAAGACCUUCAAAACUAAAUAGGCCUUCAUGGUGUACACCAUUUUCAUAAUUUUUUAAAGUGCAAUGCCAAAGGUGGGAAAAAUAAAAAAAAUGCAAAAAUAAGGCAAAAAAAAAGGAUGGAUUUGCAUCCAAUGAGUUUUCCUCAUGGACUUGGCAAAGUUUUUUUUGCUCACCACAAAAUUGACAAGUACUUGCCAAAAAGUCGGCAAGUUGCUACCAAAAAGAAUGGUGAGUGCUUGGUGACUUGGUGAGUAUUCACCCAGUAUGCCAUUAGUGGGUCCAAGUAACCUAGAUGUAUCAAUUAUAAAUGCCCUCUUUGUUGAAUUGAUUGAGCAUCGCUUUCCUUGCGAGAAAGGUGUUGAGGAGCACAUAGAGUACCUAAAGGGAGGGACUUGAUCCAAAGAAAUGCCCAAAGGCUAGAGCAUAUGGACUUUGGAGAACCAACAAUGUCGACAUCCAUGGGUAUCAAAGAGGCAAUCUCUUUUGAGGAUCGAAGUGCCAAAAAAUGAUAUUUCCCAUAAUGAGAUUUAGAACCACCCGUGGAUCUCAACUUGAGUAUAAGUUAAGUCCAUUUGAAGAUACCAUUGAGACAAAGAGGUUGGGUAGCAAAUUUAGCUUAGACAACAACCCAAGGAACCAUUCGUUUGUACCAAAUCAUACUUUGAAGCAUACCUGUUUGAAAACUUUCAACUCAAGCCUAGUCACAAUGACCCAAGUGAGGAUCCCAAACCUCAAAACCAUGUAUUGUUUUAGGCCAUUCACUUCAUUGAUCUGUUCAUAGUGUGCUGACCUUUAUUUCUGAUUAUGGUUGUUUGUAUGUUUGGCGAGACUCACGUUUUCUGUAUAAGGCCAAGGUUUAUGUCUUGGAGAUCUUGACAUUGCGGUCAGAUUAUUUUGACAGAGAGAGAUUUUUGUAGCAGGGUAAACAAUGUCAAGAAGCUUCAUAAUAGUUGCCCCAUCAUUAGAAAUGGUGAUGGAGUCCCAAUCAUUGUGAAUAAGUAUGUCCAUGUCGUGAGGCCCUCACACAACCAAGGCUUUGAAAGAGGUUAUGUACAACACCAAAUAAAGGCACGAGCGGAGACCUCAAGGUUACGAUUUAAUAGUUAAUAUUAAUUUAGUGUUUUUAAAAAUAUAUUGUUAGGAGAUAUUGACUAUCAUAGUCAAGUUAUAUUAUUUUGUUUAAUGUAGGGUCUAUCAUUUAAAAAAAGUUGUAAUCAGAGUGCAUGAUCGGUGGUACCUGACACUCCUUGUAAAAAGUGCACAUUAAGGGGGGGGGAGAAUAUGUUCUUUCCUCACAAGUAACAAAAUGAGCCUCAAAAGAAAAAUCUGCUAAGUAAGUAGCCAACACAGGAGGUUGGAGGUUGGAGGAAAAUUAGCGUCCUCUCAUCAGUCAACAAUGAUGGGGCCGCAUGCUUGAUAUGGUGACAAAUAAAUAUAUAAUGAGUUUUGUUCAGCUUUUUAGUGUGGUGUUUGAAUGCUGGAAAAAUGAUCGUAUUGGAGAGUGGAUCCCUGUAAAGGUCCUUUGACUGCGGUGGUCCUUUGAUUGCCGUACUUUGUUGGAAGAUGAUCAUUCAAUGGAUACGUUCAUUGGCAAUGGUGAUCAUGUGCAACAAGAUCUAGAUAGCAAGAUCCAAACAGUAGUAUGCAACCUUAUAUGAUUCACUUUUCAGUGUUUCUAGUUGUGUGAAUAAGUGGAAAUUUCACGUUGUGGGGGGGAAUAAUAACCAAUGUUCCAUUCCCAUUUCGUGCCAAAAUGGCUAAAGUCAAGGGCAGCUUCCAGUGGCAAUGGUGGUUGUCUAUGCUGUUUGAGAUCGAGUGGCAGCGAUUGGUAACGGUGACUACAAUUAAGAACAUUGUGUUCUUAUGGAAUCUAAUGUGAAACCGUUUCUAGCAUGGAUUUUUCAGAUUUGUGAUAUGUAUGUUGAUUUCUAUACAACUUCCCUGAUGUACAAGCAUAGUAGCGAACAAAAGCACAUAGUAGGUCAGUUCAUGGAUCUUGAAAGGGUUUGUGGGAGGAUCCAAAAACCACACGAGGUGGACCAUUGGUGGGUUCCUGUUCAUGUCCAGGUUUGUCGUAUGCCUGUGUGAAAACCAUGUAAGGUUGAUGGGAGGUGCCUUUCGUUUUGAAUCAAGAUUAUGAAUUUUGGACUUACUGUAGAUAAAGGCUUUGAGUUCUUACCAUGUUCGCACUAAGGGCGGGAAUGUUGGAAAUCUAUUGUUAGUGCUCAAGACUGUUUUGGUUACGAGUUGUUUUAACAACUCUCUAAUCUUGGAAGUAGUUAAAACUGCAUAAGGAUUUUGAAUUCCUUUUUAUAUGUAAGUUUUAUUGAUUGAAAAGAUGAAGGAGCACGAUAUCAUUUGUGUUUAAUUUUUUGCAGCUCCCAUUUAUAUCUCUCUGUCCAUAUUUCUAAUAUAGUCUUGAAAUCUCUCCUAAUAUUAGCCUAGCCCUUGGCCUUCAAAUUCCUUUCAUCCAACACCUUGGACAUCAAGAUGUCCAAGAGUAUGAUAGAGAGUUUCAUAAAAAGUAUGCCUAAUCAUGAUUGUUCCUGUAAUUAUAUUGAUUAGAGAAAUCCUUCAAUUUGUGAAUGGGGUGGAUAAUAUGUUAUGACCAAACAAAAUGUAACCCACAAAGAACAACCUCAUUAAACCACUACAAAACAAAAUAAGUAAGUGAUUACAUACCAUAGAUGAGGAACUUAGCCAAAAGUCCCCCACAAUUAGCCACUUUAUUACUGCAUAUCUUCAAAAUAGCUCUUCGAACACAACUUAAAGAAGAAAAGUGAUAUGAGAGGAGAAGAGUGGAGAAGACUCUAGUGGUAGGUUGAUAAGGAAUAUCUUAAAGAGAAUUAGUGUAAGAGACCCAAGUAGGUAGGGUGAUAUGAAUAAUGGGGGAGUUUCUUGGCGGAGUGUAUGCUAGAAGAUCUUAGGGGAGUGGUGGAAGGUAGGAAGGUGCUUGUUUUGCUUCGAUGCAAGAACUUGUAUUUCUUAUGUUGAGAUGAGGAUGAUAGUCUCCAUGGAUAUUAAAAAUAGAGGGGGGGGGGUCAUUGGCAAGGAUAAAGUGAAGUGAUUGAUGCAUGGCUUUACAUCUAUGUUCCACGGGGACGCAUACCCUGCAUUUUUUGCCUCGUACCCAUACCGGGGAUGGGAAAUUGCCGUUUCCUAUGGGUCCCGUUUUUUCGGCAAAUUCACUGGGGACGUUCUAGGGAUUGCUGUUGGGAAGCAAGGGACAACAAGGGACGGCCAGAUGUCCUUGGGACAGCUAGGGGACGCCUAGACGUCCCCUGACUGUCCCUGGGACAGCUGGCCGUCCCCUAUGGCCCAGAUUUUUUAAAGUAAAAAAUAAAAUAAAAAAACAUAUUUUUAAUUUUUCAAAGAGGUUCGGCUGGCCCCACCAAGACCCCAAAUAAACAUUAAAAUAUAAAAAACCCUAAUCUAAUGCAUAAAACAAGCAAAAGGAAAAAAAAGACACUCAUUUUGACAUUUGCAAAAUAGGAAAAGAGCAGCAAGAAGAGAAGAAGCAGCUGGUUAAGGAGUGAACAGCAGGUGAAAGAGGAGCUUAGGCCAUCAAAUCUACUUCACUAGAGCUCUAUUUGACAUUCUCAUUCAAACAAAAUCAUGAGCAGCUAUGAGAGUGGUAGUGACGAGUGAUAGUGAAAAUGAAGAAGUUGAAAUUGAAGAAAUUCGAAGAAAUAGACAUAGAACUAGAAGAGGGGCAGCCAUUGGGGAGACUUCACGAACUAUGAAUGUAGCAGGGGCAGCAAGUUCAACCACACCCCAAAACCCAUUUGAAUGUCCUUCCCAAAUUCUCAAAGAGUUUGCAAAAUGCCCAUUCAACCCCAAAAAAACUCUAUUACAAUAUGCUACAAGAGUUGACAAAGAUAAGAAAAAAAAUUCAGGGGGCAGUAGAGUAUGGGAGUGUCAUUUGUGCCACAAACAAUAUAAGGGCAGCUAUACUAGGGUCUAUUCCCAUCUUUUGUGGUUAGGUGGGCAAAGGGUGAGAGGUUGCAAAAAAAUAACUCAAGCUCAAAAAAUUGAGGCAACUAGAUUGCAUAUGGAGGGGGAAGCAUUAAGUAAAGGAACUUCAAUAGAGAGUAUCAGUUUGCAGCCUAGUGUGUCAAAUGCAAUGGAUGAUGCUUGUCAUGGGGGAGAGGGUGCCAUUUCUAGUAGAGGUAAGGCAAAGAAGACUAAGAGAAACUAAUGUUGCUGAUUUGUUUAACAUACAAGCACGAGAGAAGGUUGAAGCCUCUAUUGCCAAGUUUCCUUUUGCUCAUGGUAUACCAUUCCAUGUCUCACGUUCAUCAUAUUAUAAACAAAUGCUCAAAGAUGCCUUAUGUGCUGGCCCCUCAUUUGUUCCACCUAGAGAAACUAAGCUACACACCACCCUUCUUGAUAAAGAGUACUCUAAGGUGACUAUUUUGAUGGAUGAUAUGAGACAAACAUGGAUGAGGGAUGGAUGCUCCAUAAUUAUGGAUGGGUGUUCUGAUAUCAAACAUCGAUCGCUCAUCAAUCUUAUUGUCACUAGCACUACAGGCUCUUAUUUUCUUAGAGCUAUAGAUUGUUCAGGUAAAAGGAAGGAUGCAACCUUCCAAUUUCAGAUUUUGAGAGAGGCCAUAGAAGAGAUUGGAGCCUCUAAUGUUGUGCAGGUAGUGACUGAUUCAGCCCGUGUGUGUAAGCUAGCCAUAUUGAUGGUGGAGAGUGCUUAUAAGCACAUUUUUUGGACCUCGUGUUGUGUGCAUGCAUUGAACAAUACCUUGAAGGACAUUGGGAAAAUUGAUUGGGUGAAGGCAAUGGUGCUAGAGGCUAGAGAUGUGCAAAUGUUCAUUGCAACCAUCACACUUCACUUGCAUUGUUUAGGACAUUUUCGAGGAAGGAAUUCCUCAAGCACAUGGAGACUAGAUAUGCCAGCUACUUUAUUUUGUUAGAGAGGAUGCUUGAGGUCCAGGAGGCUCUACAAUCCAUGGUGGUCAAUGCAGAGUGGGUUAGUUGGCAUGAGGCAAGCACACCGGAGGGCAGAAGUGUGAAACAAAAAAUCCUUGAUGAUAAUUGGUGGUCCACAAUGAGAUACAUUUGCUCCUUCAUUUAGCCUAUUGUUCAUGUGAUUAGAUAUGCUGAUACUGAUUCUCCUAACCUUGGAGAGAAUUAUGAGACCUUUGAUAGCAUGCUUGGGCAGAUCAAGCAAGCUAUUUAUAGCAAGGACCCCACUUUGGGAUUUUAUGAGGAGCAUCUUAGGCCCAUUGUGACACAGCGGUGGAACAUUAUGAAGAACCCACUUCACAUGGCAGCCUAUGCUCUCAAUCCCAAAUGGUAUGCAUCGAGACCUGGGAGAGUGCCUCCAUCUAGUGAUGAAGAGAUGAAAGAUGGCAUUUUUAAGGCAAUUUCAAAAAUGUAUAAUGAAGAUGAAUCUACCAAACUCCGCACACAGUGGCUUAAUUUUGUCAAUCUUCGUGGUCCAACGUUUGGCAGACUUGAGGCGAGGUCGGAUAGAGCUACAUUAGCUCAAACCGACCCUAUUGGAUGGUGGACAUGACAUGGUAGAGAUGCACUAGAUCUGAGAGUACUUGCCGUUCGUCUUCUUUCACAGGUUGCCAGUUCCUCUGCUGCAGAGAGGAAUUGGUCCACAUAUAGCUUCAUCCAAUCAGUCAAGAGGAACCACCUUACCUCUAGACAAUCGGAGAAGUUAGUGGCUGUUCACAGUGCAUUGCGGCUACAGGAUCACCAGACUCCUGAGUAUUGUCAGACUCUAGCCUUAUGUUGGGAUGUCAAUCCCGAAGAUGCUAUGCUGGUUGAGGAGGACGAGACACCUCCAGGAUUGCUUGGGGUUCCAUUGGUUGAGGAGGCAGCCCCUCAUAUUGAUAAUGACUUAGACAGAGGCUCUAGCUCUGAUCUUGAUUUAGACUCUUAGACUUAGACCUACCAUGUGCUGAUUAUGGACAGCCAUAUAUUUUCUUAGUUUAUCUUGACAUUAUGAUAGACAGCUGAUUAUGGACUUCUAUGUUUUAACUUUUCUAUUUAUAGUUUAUGUCAUCUUAUAGUUAUGGAUGUUUAAUAUUUAAUAUUUAUCAUUUUAUGUCUAUUAUGGAUGUUUAUGACAUAUGUUUGUUGGCAAUGAUUGAUAAAAGCAUUUGAAUUUCGGUAAAAUGUUUGUCAAUUCUCUUGUGAAAUCUCAAUUCAAGUCUAAUGCAAUGUAUUAAUGUCUAUGAUGAAUGCUUUACCAUUGUUAUGAUAUGCAUAUUUGAAAUUUCUCUAUGUUUGUAAACCCUCCCCCCCAACUAUUUUUUUAAUAGUUGUCCCCUACCGCCCCCCCGGAAAUGACCCAAAAGUACCCCUGUACCGGAAACACGUCCUAGCAUCCCCGAAACUACGUGGAACAUAGCUUUACAUUCAUCAUCAAACCAACAAUUCACAUGGAAAUAACCAUGAAGGUAGGGUGGAGAAGAAUGAUGGAUUGUGUGGGGAAAAAGGUCAAGGGCAAUGUCCUAAUGAACAUUAGAGAGAAACACAUACAAGACGACAAUGAUAGUGGGUAGAAGGGAGUAGAAGUUGGACAUAAUGGUUCUUUAACAAUUAGAUAAUGGAGUAAAAGUAUUAGAGGUUGAUGAUUUGUGUGCAUAAUAUUAGACUUCAGUUCGCUUCGUGGAGGUGUAAUGUCCCUGAAAUUUGUAAGAAAUUAGUCAACAUCUCAUGUAGGAUCCUGAAGGAAACGAAAAUAUUAAAUGUUUUGCCUAAUAAGACAAAUCACUCAGCCACACUAGGAGACAAAAGACACUAGCAGACAAAAAACACUAGAAGACAAAAUAUGCUAGAAAACAAAAUAUAUUAGAAGACAAAGAAAUAAAGGAAACGUAUUGUGUGUCAUGCCCCCAGCAGUCAGUAAUAGGCAAUAAAGAAAAGAUUAAAGACUGUGAUUUCUUAGACUAAGAAAUAAUUAAAAUAUAAUUAGAUUUUAAGCCAGCAAUUAAGAGGAAGAGUUGUGACUCUUUCAAAAGGUAGGAAUAUUGAAGAGGCAUGACUUCUGCCUUAUAUUGGAGGGUAUAAAAGGAAGAAGAAUUCAAAUGAAGGGGGAAAAAUCAUAUUCAGAAAUUCAGGGAGUCAUAUCUAAUAAAUAGAAAUCAGAAUAAAUAUAAAUAUAAGGAAAUAUUUUGAGCAAGUCUGAUUCUGAGUAUAUUACCAAGGAAAUGCAGCCAUCUAUUGUCUUUGCAAUCAAUUGGGAAUAUAGGACAAUUCUGACCGAAUGGGAAGAAGCCGAUGGAUAAAUGAAGGAGAUCUGAUCUGAGUAAGAAUUAUUUCAGGCCAUACAGCCGAUUAGGCAAUCUACAAGUAAUUUGGUAUGAGAUAUAGUAUAUUGUGCAUUGAUUAUUAUAUGGAUGUCUUUUGACAUUAAUCAUAAUAAGAUUAAUAUGGCAUUAUAUUCCUUUGUAUAUAUUUAUCCCACAAUCAAUUAGAUGUAAAGUUGGAGGAAAUAAGCUAGGGAGAUGCAGUUUACCGGUUCCCUCGAACUAAGUAGACCACCCCAAGGGAUGGAACUUGUCAUAGUGGAAUGUUCCUGCUGCUUGUGGGCUGAGGGGCGAGUUGUCAUUGUUGGAUGCUACGUGCUGUGGGGCUUAGUUGGGCUGAGCAGUUUACUGGCGCCCUUUUUAGUUUUCCUACCGAACUAGAUUAUGAUUGGUUACAUGGUAGUUUCAUGUGGAAGUCUAGUUUUGCUGCAAUCUCUCCAACUGUUGGUGCUUAGGUCAAAGGGGAGGUUAAUAUGUCCACAAGUUGACCAAGGUAAGUAUCUCUUUGCCUUGUGUCUUUUAUUUAUGCAGGCCUAGUUCUCAUUGCAUACUUUGUUAUUGUAUUACUUGUCUUGCAUGUUGUCUUUACUUUAUUGCCAUCCAUAUUGCCCUACUUUUAGCCCUUAUAUACACCCACAAGCUGAUCAAGCUAAUUAUCUCUUUGCCUUACCUUCUUUAUUUAUGCAGGUUUACUAUUCAUUCCAUGCUUUUUAAUUUUAUAUAUACAUGGCUGUAGAGACAACAUUCAAGAUAACAAGUAAUAUAAAAUAACAAAGCAUGCAAUGAGAGUUAGACCUAUAUACAUAAAGGUGAUAAGGCAAAUAGAUAUCUACCUUGAUCAACUUCUAGGUGUAUUAAC